rnacentral:lncRNA from 1 species
GAAAUGCAUUGAGGAGAGAGAAAAGCAGACAGAAGAGUCCAGGACUCCAAAUCCAAGACUUCAAUUCCUCCUCAACCCAAAAAGCUCAGAUUCCAUCUACUAUAUGCUGAGUUCCAGGAGAGAGUUCACUAGAAAAUAAAAGCCUUGAAAACUAGGAUUCAUUCAUUACCAUACUUCACCUUUUGGAGAAUGUCAUAUAGUGUACAACGUGUUUUGUCUGUGAUGAAGAAGAUGACCAACUGGAGAGCUGAAGGGUUUCACCAUUCUCAAGGAAGAUAAAUACUUGUUUUACUUCAGUUCUAUGCUAAUGGGGUAUCAAUACAAUGUAUAUUCAUCUUUUGAAGAAUAUGUAUCCAUAUUCUAGGAGAAAUGAGUUUAUCUGCUUCUAUUUCUUCAUAAAUAUCUAAAGAUUGUG